rnacentral:lncRNA from 1 species
GUAAAACUGCUGUUUAUGCUUUAAAAAAUAGAGAUCAGUUUAGAAAUCAACCAAGAACACCCAAAACGCCCAAAAUCUGAUACCAAAUGAUACGGGGUUGCGCGCGGACCAAGAUCGAGUUGCCAAGUCACGGGAAACUCCUACGAAAACCCUAAACAAUUAGAUCUGAAACGAAACAGAAAAUUAAAAGAUUAGAUUUUUGAAUUUUCAGAUUUGAAAUAAAAUCCCCAAAUCAGCAAAGAAUCAAAUUGAGAAUAGAAAUAAGUGUUAGGGUUCUUG